rnacentral:rRNA from 1 species
AUUGAACGCUGGCGGCAUGCCUUACACAUGCAAGUCGAACGGUAACGCGGGGCAACCUGGCGACGAGUGGCGAACGGGUGAGUAAUGUAUCGGAACGUGCCCAGUUGUGGGGGAUAACUGCUCGAAAGAGCAGCUAAUACCGCAUACGACCUGAGGGUGAAAGCGGGGGAUCGCAAGACCUCGCGCAAUUGGAGCGGCCGAUAUCAGAUUAGGUAGUUGGUGGGGUAAAGGCUCACCAAGCCGACGAUCUGUAGCUGGUCUGAGAGGACGACCAGCCACACUGGGACUGAGACACGGCCCAGACUCCUACGGGAGGCAGCAGUGGGGAAUUUUGGACAAUGGGCGCAAGCCUGAUCCAGCCAUGCCGCGUGCGGGAAGAAGGCCUUCGGGUUGUAAACCGCUUUUGUCAGGGAAGAAAAGGCUCCUGUUAAUACCGGGGGCUCAUGACGGUACCUGAAGAAUAAGCACCGGCUAACUACGUGCCAGCCGCCGCCGUAAAAC